rnacentral:rRNA from 1 species
GAUGAACGCUGGCGGCGUGCCUAAUACAUGCAAGUCGAGCGAACGGACGAGAAGCUUGCUUUUCUGAUGUUAGCGGCGGAUGGGUGAGUGACACGUGGAUAACCUACCUAUAAGACUGGGAUAACUUCGGGAAACCGGAGCUAAUACCGGAUAAUAUUUUGAACCGCAUGGUUCAAAAGUGAAAGACGGUCUUGCUGUCACUUAUAGAUGGAUCCGCGCUGCAUUAGCUAGUUGGUAAGGUAACGGCUUACCAAGGCAACGAUGCAUAGCCGACCUGAGAGGGUGAUCGGCCACACUGGAACUGAGACACGGUCCAGACUCCUACGGGAGGCAGCAGUAGGGAAUCUUCCGCAAUGGGCGAAAGCCUGACGGAGCAACGCCGCGUGAGUGAUGAAGGUCUUCGGAUCGUAAAACUCUGUUAUUAGGGAAGAACAUAUGUGUAAGUAACUGUGCACAUCUUGACGGUACCUAAUCAGAAAGCCACGGCUAACUACGUG